AGAACGCACAUUAAUAAUUAUCCUUGAGGCCAUGGGAUAAACAAAAACCCUACAAAACCAAAUUAGUACAUCCUAGAAUGGUUCUAACAUGAUUACUAACCUAUGGCUCUAAUACAAGUUGAUGGAAAAACCUG
rnacentral:pre_miRNA from 1 species